UGCCAGCCUCCAAACAGCCCAUCCUUGAGCUCGUCUUCCGUUAUCUGUGUCCACAGUCACCAUCGGUUUCAGCAAAGCAACUCACUCAUCACAUUAAAUGUGUCCAGUGAAGGCUGGCUUCUAAAAACACCCACCAGGACGCAGCCGAAGUGGGGAGUGUCGGCAAGGGCCUCAGAGCAACAUGCUCCGUGUCUGUGGUCGGCCGGGGGGACCUUGUGCAAGAGAGAGAGAGAGAGAGAGCGCGCGCGCGCCUGCCAAGCAGCCCGUCAUCUGUCUGCCAGAGCAAAGUGGGCUCGAGGACAGGCUACCGUGAGGUCUGCCCUCUGCAGGACAUGAGGCCAGGGAAGCCCUUUGUGUGUGUUUAAUUCUGCGUCCUCAGGACCCAUCAAGAAGGUCGGGAAUGGGCGUCCUCAUGGGCAUGACAAGGAUAGCAGUUUGCUGGGACAGAUGUCUUCUGGGGAAAUUCGCCAUGCUCUGAGGCUCAGUCCUGGGGUGCGUCGGUUCCUGAGCACCCCCUCUCCCACCGUGGCACCAACAAGACAAUUCAAACAAUGGUCAGAAACCAUGGCCGGCUCCUAACAUGCGUUCAGCCACACGAGAGGAGUCACAAGCUCUUUGGUACACCGUGGGUGGUUUCAGAGUGCACGUGGCUGCAUCUGAAUUCACCAAAUAGAGAUGUGAGAUUGAUCUUUUGAAAUGUGUGGUGCCUUCAGUGAGUCAUUCUGAUAGAUGUAAACAGGCCGCCAAAUCCCUUCCCGGCUUCAAUGACGCCUGUAGCUGGGCCAGUGUCGUCAUCAGCAUGACUUCCCUGGACAGUAGUCUCCCCUCUGAUGUCAAGGAGGAAUCAAAACACCGGAGAAGAUGUCUUUUGAAAAUAAAACAUGAAAAACUCAAUAUUUUGAGUUCUUCUCCCAGGAAGAUGUAAUGUAAAAGGAGCACAUGAAUAAACUUAUUUUAGGAACCGAAAUGACUUCAAGUGGGAAGUCUCAAGCCUUGCCAGCAAUGAGUCACGCAUGCAGUGUUUGUAACACU